rnacentral:rRNA from 1 species
GAAUUGCAGAAUCCCGUGAACCAUUGAGUUUUUGAACGCAAGUUGCGCCYGAAGCCAUUAGGUUGAAGGCACGUCUGCCUGGGCGUCACGC